rnacentral:rRNA from 1 species
UAGGGAAUCUUCGGCAAUGGGGGGAACCCUGACCGAGCAACGCCGCGUGAGUGAAGAAGGUUUUCGGAUCGUAAAGCUCUGUUGUUAAGGAAGAACGAGUGUGAGAAUGGAAAGUUCAUGCUGUGACGGUACUUAACCAGAAAGGGACGGCUAACUACGUGCCAGCAGCCGCGGUAAUACGUAGGUCCCGAGCGUUGUCCGGAUUUAUUGGGCGUAAAGCGAGCGCAGGCGGUUAGAAAAGUCUGAAGUGAAAGGCAGUGGCUCAACCAUUGUAGGCUUUGGAACUGUUUAACUUGAGUGCAGAAGGGGAGAGUGGAAUUCCAUGUGUAGCGGUGAAAUGCGUAGAUAUAUGGAGGAACACCGGUGGCGAAAGCGGCUCUCUGGUCUGUAACUGACGCUGAGGCUCGAAAGCGUGGGGAGCGAACAGG